rnacentral:rRNA from 1 species
CACGUAGGGUGCGAGCGUUGUCCGGAAUUAUUGGGCGUAAAGGGCGCGUAGGCGGGCGGCUAAGUCCGCGGUGAAAUCCUCCAGCUCAACUGGAGAACGGCCGCGGAUACUGGUCGUCUCGAGGAACGUAGGGGUAUGCGGAACUAUCGGUGGAGCGGUGAAAUGCGUUGAUAUCGAUAGGAACUCCGGUGGCGAAGGCGGCAUACUGGACGUUUUCUGACGCUGAGGCGCGAAAGCCAGGGGAGCAAACAGG